CCUACGGGUGGCAGCAGUAAGGAAUAUUGGACAAUGGCCGCAAGGCUGAUCCAGCCAUGCCGCGUGCAGGAAGAAGGCCCUAUGGGUCGUAAACUGCUUUUGAACGGGAGAAAACCCUUGCUCGUGCGCGAGGCUGAUAGUACCGUUAGAAUAAGCAUCGGCUGACUUCGUGCCAGCAGCCGCGGUAAGACGAAGGAUGCAAGCGUUAUCCGGAUGAAUGGGGUUUAAGGGGAGCGUGUACGGCAGUGUAGAAAUCUGUGGGCUUAACCCACAAACUGCCAUUGAUACUGCAGGUCUAGAGUACAGUUGCCGUUGGCGGAAUAUGACAUGUAGUGGUGAAAUACUUAGAUAUGUCAUAGAACACCGAUUGCGAAGGCAGCUAACGAAGCUGUAACUGACGCUGAGGCUCGAAAGUGCGGGGAUCAAACAGGAUUAGAUACCCGAGUAGUC
rnacentral:rRNA from 1 species